rnacentral:rRNA from 1 species
GAUGAACGCUAGCUACAGGCUUAACACAUGCAAGUCGAGGGGAAACGAUAGAGAAAGCUUGCUUUUUCUAGGCGUCGACCGGCGCACGGGUGAGUAACGCGUAUCCAACCUGCCCAUCACUUGGGGAUAACCUUGCGAAAGUAAGACUAAUACCCAAUGACGUCUCUAGAAGACAUCUGAAGGAGAUUAAAGAUUUAUCGGUGAUGGAUGGGGAUGCGUCUGAUUAGCUUGUUGGCGGGGUAACGGCCCACCAAGGCGACGAUCAGUAGGGGUUCUGAGAGGAAGGUCCCCCCACAUUGGAACUGAGACACGGUCCAAACUCCUACGGGAGGCAGCAGUGAGGAUAUUGGUCAAUGGACGAGAGUCUGAACCAGCCAAGUAGCGUGAAGGAUGAAGGUUCUAUGGAUUGUAAACUUCUUUUAUACGGGAUAAACGAUCCACGUGUGGAUUUUUGCAUGUACCGUAUGAAUAAGGAUCGGCUAACUCCGUGCCAGCAGCCG